GAAGGAUAUGCCUUAUUCGUCAACUCCUUCGACCGGAGACUUAGGAGACUCCUACCAUAUGUUACUGCACCUUGAUACUCGGAAAUCUCAUAACCACUCAGUGACUUGGAUUUUUCAAUUCUCCAAACGAGAAGUUUUCCUCACUCGAGAAAUUAAGGGAGCACUACCUCAACCUACAUGCUUCACUCACAAAACUUCAACAAAAGGAAAAAUUUAAAGAACUUAGUGAAUAAGGCCUUGGUGUAUUUAACACAAUACAUUGAAAUGAAGCAAAGCUUGUUUAUUGAUAUCUCCGAUAAGUUACAAAUAUGUACAUAUACAUCAAUCAAAAUAAACAAACAAGAGGGAGUCUUCACAAAGGUUGCUCAGAAGAAGUCUCAGCAGUCGGCAGAACCCUAGAAAGAUG
rnacentral:lncRNA from 1 species